rnacentral:lncRNA from 1 species
AGGGAGAGGGCCGGAUGCCGGGCGUAUGGGCCACACUUGGUGGUCCUCCUGCUGCGCCGCCUCAGGGGACUCCCUGCCUGGCUUUGCCUGUGCUGGCCGGAAAUCAUCUCCCCUUACUCCCCAGCAAUGCAAGCUGCAUGUGCAGCAGGAGGGAGGGUAGGACACAUCGGAAACCACCGGGCUCGGCGAUUGGGCUUUGAGAUCUUGGAGCUACCACACCCAAGAGACUAGGAGCUGAGGGUGGCCGGGAGGAAUCUACUCCCUGAAGAGCGCCCACCCACCCAGCCCAGUGUUUCCCCUGGGAGCCCAGGGCAGCCUUACUUCUCGGGGUUGUAACUAGGCCUCCUGACUACCCCCAGCCACCACUUACAUGGGAAACAUUUUAUAACCUGCUUUCUGGCGGGCAAGGCCAGGCUCCCGUGGGCUGCCUUCCUUCUGAAGUUUUCCAUUCAAUUAUUUACACGAGCCCACAGACCUCUGCAGGAAGUCGGCAGGCACAGGGUAGCAUUUAUUCUUCUGCUGUCUCAUUUGUGGAGGGACCUCCCUUCUCUUGAAUGUGGCUCCUUUGGAGGUCAGAGACUGAGGACGGUGGCAUCAUCUAGAUCCCCGUUGUUUAUUCUUGAGGCCAGAGCAUUGCCCACCAGGUGUUUCCCAGGCACGGACCCCUUGCCCAGCGUGGCAUUCAGAGGGGGCAGCUCCGGCCGCCUGCUCAGGAGUGGGGUGGGAUGGGGAGCUGCCUCUGGAGCCUUGUGCUGAAGGAGAGGACCGUUGACGGAGAAGGACAUCACCCAAGUCCUGGGGCCUUUGGGGAAAGUAGGAAACCUGCCUGUCCUACAGGAGAAGAGACCACCUCACCAACUUUGAAGGAUGCAGGCCUUGUUUAGAGCAGAUCUCAGAAUUGGUGCCCUGCGGGCUCCAGGCCUUGGCCCUGCUGGUGGAUGAAAGUGGCACAACCUGCCCUGAGGCCUGAGUGUCACGGGAACAACAGCUAGACGGCUAGACACUGGCCCCCUCACCCCACCUCCCAGGGUGGCACGGCUGUCCAGAUAUGGUGCUGAGGGAGGUCAG